GAUGAACGCUGGCGGCGUGCUUAACACAUGCAAGUCGAACGAAGCAUUUGCGACAGAUUUUUUCGGAAUGAAGUUGCUUAUGACUGAGUGGCGGACGGGUGAGUAACGCGUGGGUAACCUGCCUUGUACUGGGGGAUAGCAGCUGGAAACGGCUGGUAAUACCGCAUAAGCGCACAAUGUUGCAUGACAUGGUGUGAAAAACUCCGAUGGUAUAAGAUGGACCCGCGUCUGAUUAGCUAGUUGGUGAGAUAACAGCCCACCAAGGCGACGAUCAGUAGCCGACCUGAGAGGGUGACCGGCCACAUUGGGACUGAGACACGGCCCAGACUCCUACGGGAGGCAGCAGUGGGGAAUAUUGCACAAUGGAGGAAACUCUGAUGCAGCGACGCCGCGUGAGUGAAGAAGUAAUUCGUUAUGUAAAGCUCUAUCAGCAGGGAAGAUAGUGACGGUACCUGACUAAGAAGCUCCGGCUAAAUACGUG
rnacentral:rRNA from 1 species